UCUGAGGGGGAGUUUCUUUGGGGAAGGAAGGCCCAGUUUCGCCACUGAACAAAGAAUGAAAAUGAACCACAAAGGGAUCCCCCUCCCCAGUGAGGGAGACGCAGGAUCAGAGAAGCGAGAGAGACAUCGGGGGAAAAACCACCCGGGCUAGAGAGAGCCAGGCAAAGGAAGAAAGGAUCUCCACUGAGCUGCGGAAGGUUUUGCCCACCUCGCCGGCCGCUCUCCUCCUUUGCCACCCUGCUCCCUUCCCUCCGUUCUCCUCUCUCUGAGGUUUGCAAACAAAACGUCACCAAUCGAUAAGCCUCUGUCUGUGUGUGUGUGCGUGUGCGUGUGUGUGUGUGUGUGAUCCUGACCGGCCGGACUCCCAAAUCUGCAGCUCCUGACUCGUUCACUACCUCUGUAGGAAGCCACAAGAAGUUCCCAGCCAGGCGAGCGGCCCCUUUGGCGGAGGAUGGCGGAGCUGGGACAGGUGCAGCCUUGAGAAUGGAGAGAGAGAGCGGAGAACAGAGAGAGAUGCAGCCACAAGCAACAUUAAAACGACAGACAACAGGGAAAGGAACCCCCCACCUAUUGCAAGAGA